ACAAAUCCCUUUAUUCAUUAAGACCCUGAAUGCGCGAGAUCUCGUCUGAUCUCAGAAGCUAAGCAGGGUCGGGCCUGGUUAAUACUUGGACAGGAUUUGUA
rnacentral:rRNA from 1 species